rnacentral:lncRNA from 10 species
CUCCCUGAAGAUGGCUGCAGAGGCCCAGGGCCGCGCUCCGCGAUGCUGACAACGUACCCUGGGCUGCGCCCGGGACUGGAGACGCGGGUCACCUGCCUCCGCGCCGCCUGGUCUCAGCAGUCCGGGGGACGCGCGCUACCAAGAGUGGAGAAUCCGAGUGGGGCGGGCCUAGUCCCGGGGCUGGGAAGAGAUAGUCGCAUGGACUGGGCGCCAAGAAGCCUGCUGAUCGCGCGCGCCCCACGGCCGCCCUGGUGAUGCAGAGGGGUGGCGUGAGAUGCUCGUGGAGCUGCGGCUGGUUCGGAGUGGAUGGGCAGAGUUCCCCUCUGAAAUUUCAUGAAGAUGCGUCUCCCACUCUCCACCGAAGUACUCAACGACCAGCACACGCAUACAAUUUUGAUGGAGUUUUUUGUUUUUUGUUAUGUUUUUUUAGCUCACCAGAAACUCAGAGAGUAAAGAAAUACUGUUAAAGGAAGUUCCUAAACUAGGCAGACAGUAUAACCCUGUGUGGUUUUCUUGGUGCAAGUGUUAGAAACAAAACCGAUACCAAGCAAGGAAGGAGGCCAGCCAACGUCAUUGGUCAACAGGUUGGCCAAUUCUUUCCUUCAUUUAUCCCUCUGAAUGCCUAGGUGCCAGCCUGAGAUAGGCACUGGAUUACCACAGGGGUAAACAAGAGCAGGGCUCCUGCGGUCACAAAGACAGCCUAGUGGGAAAGUUUGUCAUUAACCGAGGAAACAUGCUAUUAAAGGGAUAACUAAAAACUGAACACAGAUCUGUGAGACCCUGACAGCUACAGGGGUUCAGGAUGUAAUCCGGGAAGGUUUGCCUGAAGAAGUGGCAUCUGAGCUGAGACCUGGAGGAUGACAUUAACUAGGCAAGGAGGAAAACCAUGUGCUAAGUGGUCUCCCACAGAAGGGAACAUGAUGUAUUGGAGGAAUUUAAGGAAGGCUAGUGUGGGUAAAGCGCGGAGAACCGCGUGGGGGAUGAUGGGAAGUGGGGCUAAAGGAGGAGGCAGGGGUCAUAUUACUCAGGUUAUUAUAGGCCAGAGGCCUUCAAACACUUUUUGAGAAGGCCCAUAAUGAGAAAAGUUUGAUGAAAUAAUUCUUAUGCUUAUGAUUGGCAUUGCAAUUUCAUAUUUCUGUUCUACUUCACUUUUUUAAAAAAGUGCUGGUGUUGACCCACUAAAUUGUUUCUAUGAGCCACUAAUGGCUCAUGACCUGCAGUUUGGAAAAAAUAUUGUAAAUCAUGUUGAGGAUUUUCAUCUUUUAAAGGUGGUGACUCGAUUCUUUUUGCUAUCAGGGAAGAGACUGGUAGAUUGAAGUGGCACAGAAUAAAUGGGUGGCUCACACCUGUAACCCCAGCACUUUGGGAGGCUGAGGCAGGCGGAUCACCUGAGGUCGGGAGUUUGAGACCAGCCUGGCCAACUUGGUGAAACCCGUCUCUACUAAAAACACAAAAAAAUUAGCUGGGUGUGGUGGCGGGCACCUGUAAUCCCAGCUGCUUGGGAGGCUGAGGCAGGAGAAUCGCUUGAACCCAGGAGGCGGAGGUUGCAGUGAGCCAAAAUUGUGCCACUGCAUUCCAGCCUGGGCAACAGAGCCAGACUUUGUCUCAAAAAAGAAAAGGAAAAGAAAAGAAAAACACCCCAUAAUUGCCACAAUCCAGAUAAGAGAUGGUAGCUUGGACCAGGAUGGUAGGAUGGUGGCAGCAGAGAUAGGGUCAAGGCAGCUACCCAGGGCCAGGGCCUGUGCUCAUCUUACGAUGUCAUCUGUUUCCCCAGUGUGCCACUACAGGGACUGAGACCAGAGCCUGUUGAUUCUGGCCUAAGCUGGCACAGCCAGUGAGUCCUAAGACAGAUUUGAAACAGGUCUCUCUGCUUCCCAAGCCUGGCCUUUUCUUUUAACUCACAGCGCAUCUGUAAGGUGAGCCCAUAAAGAAGGAAGCUCUUCAAGAGAUUAUACAUUGGAACUUAAGAACAAAUUUCUUACAGGUUUUAAUUCCGGAAAAUGUUGACUAUGUUUGGUCCCAGAAAUGAAACCAAAGUUUGUAUCUUAGUUUUUUUAAAAAAAGGAGGGGACACAUUUAGUGUGAUGUCACAGAAGAGGCUAGACUUGAAGUCCCCUUUGAUCUGGAUGAUGACCCUGAUCAUCUGGUACUAGUAUCUCAGUCAUCUCAUCCUUGUAGGCUUCAAUCAAGUCCUCCCACAGGGACAAUGCUGCUCCUGGGAUGCUGGGAGGAUUAUAGGUUUUACAGGAUUUUAAAAAUAUUUACAUUAUUUUAUAAGGUUGAAUAUAGGGUUCCCCAAUGUUGACUUAUGAUGUCUACCAUAAAGAUAUAUAAACACAGUUGAACAACUAGAAAUCCAUCCCUCUCUUCUCUGAGUUCUUUAAACAUUUAUCUGUUAUGAUACUUAUCAUGGUAGAGUGUUAAUAGUCCCUGUAUCUGUCUUCUUUAUUAAAUCAUGUGCUCCUAGGGACAAAGGUGGUUGGUGGAUCCCAGUGGCUACCACAAAAUCUGGAGUGAUUAGAUGCCAAAUAUGAUUAUGUUGUAUUUUAACAAAUGCAGAAAGUAUAAUACAAUCAUCAUUGGCCUUUAUGACUAAAGUAUUUAUAAGACUUUAAUUCACUUUCUCAAAAUUUCUUGAUGCCUGCCCGCCACCUCUGAUAAGCAUAAAUAUCUCUGCCACUCAGUCCCUGUGGCAGACUUUAGUUUUUUCCCCAGCCCUCUAUCAGUGACUGACACACAUAUAACACUGAACAUUUGUACAUCCCACAGCCAGGAUGAUUUUGUUUAUUUUCUUUAGUUUAUAGUACAAGACAAUAGAUUUUUCUUCCAUGUGCUUGCCUUCCACAGAUAAAAUAUUACUUUUGCAAAUUACAAAUGUUCUCACCCCAAGAUUCUGGAACAACCUACAAGGUAGGAAUGCCUUGAUCUAAUUAAAACAUUUGCUAACUGCUGAUUUUAGGGGAAAACUGUCUUUAGCAGCAUCUGUAUGUGUAAAACAUGUAGGUCCAUCAAUAAUUCACUGCUGUCUCUACAUUUGGUCACUGACUCUCUUCUCACAGGGAAAGAGGUUUCAAACCAGAUCCUCUUAGGUCUCUGCACUCAGACCCAGCCAAAGCUGGGUUCCAUAGCCUUCAGCAAAGGCUUGAGGAUGAAAAGUAAUGGUUGAUGUGGAAUAAAACAUUUGACAUGCACUUCUGUGGCUUGGUUGGUUCUGUCCAAAGUUAUUUAAAAAUAUGAGCCCAAC